UGGCAAGACUGAAGCAUGACAGCAUCAGAAGAUGGGUCAAGACCAGGGGUCUUCUCUGGGCAGAAGGUCAAGCCAUGUGAAAAGAGAGGUACCAAAGCAUCAACCAAAGACCACAUCUUUUCAGUUGUUUCUGUGGAAGAAUGGGCUUUGUGAUGAGAGGAUAAGCAACUGAAGUUGAAUAGGAAGGACACCAUGGCUAGCGUCCAAACCCAGCUCAUCUGCAAAUGGAAAAUUUGCCCAUCCCAGACCUACAUUCUUGUCCAGUUUUGUUGGUAGGAAUAGUUAUCACAGGAAUGAGGUUUUCCUCUUUCGUGUAUGCAGACUGAACGUUUUCCAAAGCUCACCACUUUUGAGACCAGUCUGCUAUUUUUUUGUCAAGUGGAGGCUCUUGUCCUUCUGGAAAAAUAUUUUCAUGCUCCAUUUCAAGUUUCAGCAAUCAACCUGUCUGGUGUUGACAAGAAAAGGGGUGACUCAAAUGCCUUUAGAGUGGAGGAAGGGAUAUGCUUUCCAUUUGUGGAACAGAAAAGUGUUGACAAUAUUUUCCUUAUGUUUGAAAAGCAAAACAAAAUGAAGCACACAGUAUAACCAGUGAGUUCAUCUUGAUUAGGAACAACAUGAAAAAUACCAUGUGGAAUCUGUGCAAUUAAGGCCGAAUAAAAAUUGCUUUAUAACCUGAA